rnacentral:rRNA from 1 species
AGACUACGAGGUAGAUAGGUUAGAGGUGUAAGCAUGGUAACGUGUUCAGCUGACUAAUACUAAUAGGUCGAGGGCUUAACCA